rnacentral:rRNA from 1 species
UACGUAGGGUGCGAGCGUUGUCCGGAAUUACUGGGCGUAAAGAGCUCGUAGGUGGUUUGUCGCGUUGUUCGUGAAAACUCACAGCUCAACUGUGGGCGUGCGGGCGAUACGGGCAGACUGGAGUACUGCAGGGGAGACUGGAAUUCCUGGUGUAGCGGUGGAAUGCGCAGAUAUCAGGAGGAACACCGGUGGCGAAGGCGGGUCUCUGGGCAGUAACUGACGCUGAGGAGCGAAAGCGUGGGGAGCGAACGGAUAGA